rnacentral:tRNA from 1 species
GCUAGAAUAGCUUAGUUGAUUAAAAGCGUGUGAUUGUUAAUUACAAGGUUAGAUGUUCAAGCCCUCUUUUAGCG